rnacentral:rRNA from 1 species
GGCUUACCAUGCAGUCGAGGGGCAGCAUGGUCUUAGCUUGCUAAGGCCGAUGGCGACCGGCGCACGGGUGAGUAACACGUAUCCAACCUGCCGUCUACUCUUGGACAGCCUUCUGAAAGGAAGAUUAAUACAAGAUGGCAUCAUGAGUCCGCAUGUUCACAUGAUUAAAGGUAUUCCGGUAGACGAUGGGGAUGCGUUCCAUUAGAUAGUAGGCGGGGUAACGGCCCACCUAGUCUUCGAUGGAUAGGGGUUCUGAGAGGAAGGUCCCCCACAUUGGAACUGAGACACGGUCCAAACUCCUACGGGAGGCAGCAGUGAGGAAUAUUGGUCAAUGGGCGAGAGCCUGAACCAGCCAAGUAGCGUGAAGGAUGACUGCCCUAUGGGUUGUAAACUUCUUUUAUAAAGGAAUAAAGUCGGGUAUGNAUACCCGUUUGCAUGUNCUUUAUGAAUAAGGAUCGGCUAACUCCGUGCCAGCAGCCGCGGUAAUACGGAGGAUCCGAGCGUUAUCCGGAUUUAUUGGGUUUAAAGGGAGCGUAGAUGGAUGUUUAAGUCAGUUGUGAAAGUUUGCGGCUCAACCGUAAAAUUGCAGUUGAUACUGGAUAUCUUGAGUGCAGUUGAGGCAGGCGGAAUUCGUGGUGUAGCGGUGAAAUGCUUAGAUAUCACGAAGAACUCCGAUUGCGAAGGCAGCCUGCUAAGCUGCAACUGACAUUGAGGCUCGAAAGUGUGGGUAUCAAACAGGAUUAGAUACCCUGGUAGUCCACACGGUAAACGAUGAAUACUCGCUGUUUGCGAUAUACGGCAAGCGGCCAAGCGAAAGCGUUAAGUAUUCCACCUGGGGAGUACGCCGGCAACGGUGAAACUCAAAGGAAUUGACGGGGGCCCGCACAAGCGGAGGAACAUGUGGUUUAAUUCGAUGAUACGCGAGGAACCUUACCCGGGCUUAAAUUGCAGAUGAAUUACGGUGAAAGCCGUAAGCCGCAAGGCAUCUGUGAAGGUGCUGCAUGGUUGUCGUCAGCUCGUGCCGUGAGGUGUCGGCUUAAGUGCCAUAACGAGCGCAACCCUUGUUGUCAGUUACUAACAGGUUCCGCUGAGGACUCUGACAAGACUGCCAUCGUAAGAUGUGAGGAAGGUGGGGAUGACGUCAAAUCAGCACGGCCCUUACGUCCGGGGCUACACACGUGUUACAAUGGGGGGUACAGAGGGCCGCUACCACGCGAGUGGAUGCCAAUCCCAAAAACCUCUCUCAGUUCGGACUGGAGUCUGCAACCCGACUCCACGAAGCUGGAUUCGCUAGUAAUCGCGCAUCAGCCACGGCGCGGUGAAUACGUUCCCGGGCCUUGUACACACCGCCCGUCAAGCCAUGGGAGCCGGGGGUACCUGAAGUGCGUAACCGCGAGGAGCGCCUUAGUAAUUGGC